rnacentral:rRNA from 1 species
GAUGAACGCUGGCGGCGUGCUUAACAUAUGCAAGUCGAACGAUGAAGCCCAGCUUGCUGGGUGGAUUAGUGGCGAACGGGUGAGUAACACGUGAGUAACCUGCCCUUGACUCUGGGAUAAGCCUGGGAAACUGGGUCUAAUACUGGAUAUGACUUCUCAUCGCAUGGUGGGGGGUGGAAAGAUUUAUUGGUCUUGGAUGGACUCGCGGCCUAUCAGCUUGUUGGUGAGGUAAUGGCUCACCAAGGCGACGACGGGUAGCCGGCCCGAGAGGGUGACCGGCCACACUGGGACUGAGACACGACCCAGACUCCUACGGGAGGCAGCAGUGGGGAAUAUUGCACAAUGGGCGCAAGCCUGAUGCAGCGACGCCGCGUGAGGGAUGACGGCCUUCGGGUUGUAAACCUCUUUCAGUAGGGAAGAAGCGAGAGUGACGGUACCUGCAGAAGAAGCGCCGGCUAACUACGUG